rnacentral:rRNA from 1 species
ACGGAAGGCAGCAGUAGGGAAUCUUCGGCAAUGGGCGAAAGCCUGACCGAGCAACGCCGCGUGAAUGAUGAAGGCCUUCGGGUUGUAAAAUUCUGUUAUAAGGGAAGAACGACUUUAGUAGGAAAUGGCUAGAGUGUGACGGUACCUUAUGAGAAAGCCACGGCUAACUACGUGCCAGCAGCCGCGGUAAUACGUAGGUGGCGAGCGUUAUCCGGAAUUAUUGGGCGUAAAGAGCGCGCAGGUGGUUGAUUAAGUCUGAUGUGAAAGCCCACGGCUUAACCGUGGAGGGUCAUUGGAAACUGGUCAACUUGAGUGCAGAAGAGGGAAGUGGAAUUCCAUGUGUAGCGGUGAAAUGCGUAGAGAUAUGGAGGAACACCAGUGGCGAAGGCGGCUUCCUGGUCUGUAACUGACACUGAGGCGCGAAAGCGUGGGGAGCAAACAGGAUUAGAUACCCUGGUA